AGCGAACGCUGGCGGCAGGCCUAACACAUGCAAGUCGAACGGAUCCUUCGGGAUUAGUGGCGGACGGGUGAGUAACACGUGGGAACGUGCCUUUUGGUUCGGAAUAACUCAGGGAAACCUGAGCUAAUACCGAAUGUGCCCUUCGGGGGAAAGAUUUAUCGCCAUUAGAGCGGCCCGCGUCUGAUUAGCUAGUUGGUGAGGUAAAGGCUCACCAAGGCGACGAUCAGUAGCUGGUCUGAGAGGAUGAUCAGCCACACUGGAACUGAGACACGGCCCAGACUCCUACGGGAGGCAGCAGUGGGGAAUCUUGCGCAAUGGGCGAAAGCCUGACGCAGCCAUGCCGCGUGAAUGAUGAAGGUCUUAGGAUUGUAAAAUUCUUUCACCGGGGACGAUAAUGACGGUACCCGGAGAAGAAGCCCCGGCUAACUUCGUGCCAGCCGCCGCCGUAAGAC
rnacentral:rRNA from 1 species